UUUAGAGCAGCAGGAACUCUGAGAGGCUGCAGGCGCAUCAGUGAGUUUGCAGCUGCUGCGCUGGGGAGGGGGGAGAGAGCUGAAGCAGAACCUACCGUUGUUAAAAGAAAUGUGUUUAACUUUGAAAAUGUGGGCGCAAUUUUAAUUGUCAAAGACUCCAGCGAACCAUUAGUUCAUUUUGCUCAAAUAGAAAUUGAGGCCUGCCUCUAAUACUGGUCCUCCUUCCAAUAAAGGCCUGGAGCUUGAUGGGCUUGAGUCAAAUACAGGCCCGGGCCUGUAUUAGAGGAUUUACGGUACUUUGGGCUAGUCGCGACCUCUGGGGAAGGCUGGCAGCAUCAGAAAAGUGCGUUGCCAUGUUUAAGCAUUUAUUAUUUAAAGGUCAUGCAUUUUUAAACCUUUUGAGAACAAAGGUUUGCACAAUAUAUGAUCAAAUAUAACCGACACUAGAUGUCAUUUAUCCUAAAGAUCAGUUAUUUUCAUCAGCCUGAAUUCGUACCUAGAAUUGAAACACUGUUUCAGUGAAGCUCCGCCCACGUCCACUCCGACUAAAUGUGUGUAGAGCAGUGUCAUAGGGUGUGUCCGAAUCCACAGGAAGGAAGGACGCUUAUGCGUACGGGUCCUUGAAGACCGCUAAAACCGGAACCCAGCGGCUCUGAAUUCGGACAGUCUAGCCUUCACCUCUACGGUGGCCCGUAGGUCCCGUCACAGCCGCGACGGCAGCUACACGCAAAGGAAAAAUGCUAAAGCUAGCGAAAAUGGAGCAGGAAUGUUAAGGAGCUGCAGCAGCUUCACGUCCAUCAGCAGCGUUUGUUCACAACCGUUUUCAGGUCAGCAUGCACUGUGCUGCACAUCUGCCUCUGUGCUGGUGAAGUUGUGGGUCUGGAGGAUGAGCGUGAGGAAGAUGUGUGUGGAGGAGGUCAGUGGUGCUCUGUCCUGCAGGAGGUACCAGCAGACCACCACUACUGUUAACAGGCAAGUCAUCCACAGAGACGUAACAGCCGUCGUCUGAGCCCGCCCAGCAGGCCCUGUGGAUGGACGAUGGAGUGGACAGUGAGAGGAAGCGUCCCAAAGCUCUCUCUGCAGACCGUCCUGUAUGAUGUUCCUCUGACCAGAACCGUCCAGCCACGGGUCUGCUCCAGCCCUCCAUCCACGUCUGGAUCCUCCUGCAGCAGAUCCAGCUGCACUGUUUAAGACUUCCUGCUCACUCAGUUUAAAUAAAUGAUCCAGGAAGAGUCACUCAGGCUAAUCCUGCUUUAACCGUACAUAACUGGUCCAUACUGGUUCUGAUCUGUAAAUAAGUGUAACCUAUUAGAAAUAAUCUUGUCUCCUUACCAUCUUUUCAUUUUCUGUUCAUGUAACAUGUUCAAAAACAUCUGUAAUAAUAAAACUGGUGAUAAAACCAAUGACCAGAAAGAGUCAUCAGUUAGUAUUUGUUUUAAAGAGCAAGUCACCCCCAAACCAACUUUUUUUUGCUGAUAAACAACAUGAACACGUGUCUAAUCAUGCUGCAGACAUGUGUCGUCAAUGAUUUGGAACUUCAGUGCAUUUUAAAUUUUAAAUAUUCUGCCUAAAACUGUCAGUGUUGUGCCGUUGUCAGGUAAAAACUCUGCACUGUAUUUGAAUUUAAAUCUGCCACCGCUAUUGGCUAAGAGGUAUGUUAUGAUGUAAACUGGUACAUUAUGAUGUCACAAUGCCAUUGUAAGCCUGUGUGUGUGUGUGUGUGUGUGUGUGUGUGUGUGUGUGCGUGUGUGUGUGUGUGUGUGCGUGUGUGUG
rnacentral:lncRNA from 1 species